rnacentral:lncRNA from 1 species
GGUGCACCAGGAGGACAGAACAAGUAACCUUUAACCACUUGACAUUUGACAUUGUCUCCAGGUAGGGUAAGAGGUAACACAGUAGAGGAGAAAUGUCUCCCCCAGAACACCACCCUCCUCUUCAGCGCCCCCUCCUCUGUACUCAAGCCAGAGCCUGUGGCACUCACUAGGCAAGCCCUUUACCGGAGCAGUAUUUCCAGCCUCUGUUUUGCUCUUCAUUUUGAGAUGGGCUCUCACUAAAUUGUGCAGGCCUUAAGUGUUCUUUGUGGCCUAAGCUGGUCUUAGACCUGUCUUGAAAACUAAACCAAAAGCCACACUGAGAUGCUGUGUGAUAGAGACCAGAAGUCACUUUGGCAAAACCUUGGCAACUCAUUUGUUAACUGAGAAAGCCCUGAUUGAACCCCUGCUGGGUCCAAUGUGUGUCAUCAGGUUAGGGAGGGGGAAAAUGUCCCCAGUCCUGCCUUCCCAGAGCUUCCAGCCAGCCCAUGGAGAGGCCAGGGUGAAGUAGCAUGUCUGAAAGUAACAGGAGGAAGGAAUUCUAGAAAAGGACAGUGGAAGAGAAGGUGAAAUAUGAAGAUAUGGAGGCUGAGUUCCUGGAACGCUUGGAGAACUACAUUCCUUGAGGUUAUUUUCCACCUCAGUCAGGAACUGGUGGUGGGAUCAUCCUGGAGUUGGGCUCUGAGGGAGCUGACCAGCAUUGAGCGAGCGUGAGUGAUCCCAGCAUCUGCCUGAGGAGCUGAGGCCUGCUGACUGCAUAACUAGGCUUCUGAAUCUACCUUUAAAGGAGCCCCACUGUGAGCUCCCUGCUAGUGCGGCUGAAAGGAGACUGUUGCCAGAGGUAAAGGAGAAAGCAGGCGUCCUAGAUCUGACUGACUACUGCGUGGCAGGCUUGCACGUGGGAUGGACUGAGGAAGGAGAAUCCUAUUAAUGUUCACAGCACACAGCCAAAGGAGUGGGAUGCCGGUUGCAGCUCCAGAUGUGGUACACAGUGAACAUCUACCAAGGCAUUUCAAGGUUCCAGGACCUAGAACAAAGACAUUGUCCAUAGAGAUCAAGCAAACAUGGAAUUUUCCCGUGGAUUCUAACAGACGACGAUGUUUCUGUCUUCUUGAGUGAGCAUCAAAGAACAGAAACUUCCCUUACUUGCUAAUAGAUAGACCCUCCAGAAUUCCAGAAUCUCCCAGAGCCUACAACCUGUUAGACAUUUCAGUUCCCGUACAGCAUGUUCCUGAUUUAUAAGUUUUACUCCUUGGCAGUCUUAUCGCCAUUAACAACUCACCCUUAACCACUUGGAGUCACUCUUCAGUGGUCAUCAUUGGCAUCACUCUAGCAACACAAACUAUGUCUACAGGCAAAAUUCUAACACUGAAUUGAUGAGAUUGCUGUUUUAGUCACAAUAGCCAGGAAAUAGAACCAGCUGAGGUGUCCAUCAACUGAAGAACAGGUACAUAAAAUGUGGUACAUAUACAUAAUGGGAUUUUAUGCAAUUACAAGAAGGACUUGAAGCAUGACAUUGGUAAGAAAAUGGACAGACAUAAAAAUCAUUGUAUUAAGUGAAUUAAAGCAGA